UCUAGAACUCGAGAUAUGGGUUGAACAUUGAAUAGUGUCUGGGUUGCAGGACAGAUUCUGACUUCUCUGUUGUUGCUACCAUUUGAACUCGAAAAUAGCACUUUUAAAUCUUGGACUCUUCAUGAAAGUUUUAGGCCUAUGUCUUAGCUUUCCAUA
rfam:Populus trichocarpa isolate Nisqually-1 chromosome 10, whole genome shotgun sequence.